rnacentral:lncRNA from 1 species
CAAAGUUUAGAGGGAACUCCAGGGUCCCAAAGCAUGGCUUACCGGAGAGGGGCAGAACUUAGAACUAGGAAUAAGUGCAAAGUGAGAGAGGGGUUAGAGAGCCAUAGCAGAGAGUGGUCAUACCUAGCCAUGGGCAUAGACUGGCACACCCCUGACCCUUUGCUUGGUCCAAAAAAUUAAACGCAAGUUUUCUAAAAGUCACACUUGGGUCUGGAUGGUGAUUAGGACACCACCAGACUUGAUUGAAGGCUCAACACAUAAGGGGUAAAGGGAAUGAUAAUUGAUUUGAGUAAAGGUUCAAUAGAACAUAGUUCUAGGUCAUGGAUAUAAAUAAUAGGAAGCUACCAUGACUCAGAACAGUACGCUUACACAAGAAAUGGUCAAAAGGAUGGGGACUCACAUAGAGAACAUUCACAAAAGCACAAGAAAAGCAUAAUCGACUAAGGGUGCAGAAUUAUAGAGAAAGAGGCAGAGCAGACAUAGGGCAAGAAAGCAUAAAGUAAACACAUAGUGAGAAUGCAUAUCAUGAGAUAAGGAAGAAACACAUAGUCAAGAGGGUAUUAUUUAACUAGAAAGGCAUACUAGUUGCAAUUUUUGGUACAACAGAACAAGAAAAAGUAAGUAAUUAGUCAGAAAGUAAGCAAGAGCAAACUCAGAACCUUCAGUAAGUAUUUGAGAGUUUAAGAGGAAACCAGGAGUAUUUCAGACAGUAGAAGAGAGAGGAGCAGAGUACUCAGUAUCAUAAAUAGAGAAGGUUGUAGUAGAGAGAUUAUUUGAAAUCGUGUAGUAAAAGGUGUUCGAAGUAUUUUAAAAUUCAAAAGUAUGUGUGUAAUCUGAAGUGUGUGUGUGUUAAGAGAAGAAGAAAGUAUUUAUACUUUGAAAUCACACAGGUAACAAGGAAAGAAAAUAAUCAAGUAUCAAUUAAAAAUCAAUCAGUAGAAGAAGAUUUCUCUAACUAAGGGAUUCAGAUUUCAACGGUGCAUGACAAGAAACAUUGAAGGAAAGGAGAUCAAUUAAACACAUUGUGCACAUCAUGCAAAUAAGGGUAAGUACAUGUGGAUCUUAAUUAAAGAAAGGGAAUUUUGAAAUACACGGCUAAGUAAAUAAGGAAAAAAAGUAAAACGAUUAGCACAUAGUAAAUCAGAGAAUUAGAGAUCCCCCAAAUCACUAAUGAACCAAGCCAGACAAUAAGGGAAUCGAGAGGUUCAGAUUAAACAAGGAAGGAAUCAAUCGAAUUCACACAAGGCGGUCUGAAAUCAAUCCCCAAAUCAAAGGUUGUUCUGAGAGGGAAAAUAUAACUAUAAAGAGGGCAUGAGUUUUAAACAUGCGAGGCUGGACCCAAAUAAAAAAGAAAGUAUCAUGCAACCAAAAACCAGUGAGUAGAGGACUAUAGCUAAAAGAGAGUAUCAGAUAGCAUGCGAGGUCAGAUGAAAGGUCCUAUAGAGUUUAGCAAAAAUCAGAACCACAAGGUUGAAACAAAGGUGAACUCAAAAAUUAGGGCUUUAAAACCAAACUAGUUCAAAGAUGAGAAGAAAACAAGUCACAUAUGAGUGGUCAAAAGAACUCGAGUGAAAAACCCAAAAUUCUAGGGCUUCUACUAUUAAUCAAAUGUAGGGACGAAAGCAAGCAAAUCAGGAAAGAGAAAAAAUGAAAUAAGUUCAGAGAACCCCAAAAGAACUAAAACCUUAAGCAUUUUAGGAAAACAUGAUAAAAGAACAAAAUACUAUAAAAGAACUCGUAAAGAUAUGGUAGAAGAAAUCAUGGUAGAUGAAAACACAGAAAAAUCACAGUUGAGCAAAUACAGUAAAAGAAACACAUAUGAGUCAUAAUAGAACAAGUAAAAUUAAAGAAAAACCCUAAGUCGGAGAAGACGAACAGUUUGAAAGAAACUUGAGAAAUCGUUUGAAAACCCUAAAAGAAACACAUAUCUAGAACAGAUCUAAAGGAAACAGGAGAACCUUGAAAGGCUAGGGUUUCAGAAGAACCCUAGAAGCGAGAAAAGCCUGGAAAUGGUCUGUUCUGAGCCGGAUGAGCCAGAGGUAUUCAUAGGACAAAGAUGUGUCAGAGCCAAGCCAGAGACGACCGUGAAACUUGAAUCGGUGAAGAUAUGAUCCAAAACCUUCAAGGCCAGACCUUGCAUCUUCAAUUAACAGAUGUAUAAGAACACGAGAGGUAGGUGCAGGCUGCUCAGGGCUUGGGACACCAUUGAUUCCGGUGAGAAUGAGACAGAAGUAGGCUGAACAAGCCUCGGGUUUCAGAGAGCUAGAGAGAGUUGGAAAGGACGAGAGAGUUUGUAGGCGGCUGUUGGUGAGAAAUGAUGAGGGUUUGGGUGGGGUUGGUGAGUUAAAAAGGAAGGUUGACUUAG